UACGUAGGCAGCGAGCGUUGUUCGGAGUUACUGGGCGUAAAGGGUGUGUAGGCGGUUCCCUAAGUUUGGUGUGAAAGUCCCCGGCUCAACUGGGGAGGGUCACGCGAUACUGAUCGACUCGAAGGCAGGAGAGGGAAGCGGAAUUCCCGGUGUAGUGGUGAAAUGCGUAGAUAUCGGGAGGAACACCAGUGGCGAAGGCGGCUUCCUGGCCUGUUCUUGACGCUGAGGCGCGAAAGCUAGGGUAGCAAACGGG
rnacentral:rRNA from 1 species